GCAAGUCGAACGGAGUACUUUGGUACUCAGUGGCGGACGGGUGAGUAACGCGUGAGAAUCUGCCUCUUGAAUGGGGACAACAGUUGGAAACGACUGCUAAUACCCAAUGAGCCGAAAGGUCAAAGAUUUAUCGUCAAGAGAGGAGCUCGCGUCCGAUUAGCUAGUUGGUGGGGUAAAAGCCUACCAAGGCGGCGAUGGUUAGCGGGUCUGAGAGGAUGAUC
rnacentral:rRNA from 1 species